rnacentral:rRNA from 1 species
CCCUUAGAUGUUCUGGGCUGCACGCGUGCUACACUGAGUGGAUCAGCGGGUCAGGUUGCGCGAAAGCGUUUCCUAAUCUUUAAAUCCGCUCGUGAUGGGGAUUGACGGUUGCAAUUUUCUGUCAUGAACGAGGAAUACCUUGUAAGCGCGGGUCAUCAUCCCGCGCUGAAUACGUCCCUGCCCUUUGUACACACCGCCCGUCGCUACUACCGAUUGAGUGGUCCGGUGAGGCUUUGGGAUCUGAGCGGAAAGAGCGUUUCGCUGUUUCUGCUCGGAAAACUCAGUCGAACCUUAUCAUUUAGAGGAAGGAGAAGUCGUAACA